GACGAACGCUGGCGGCGUGCUUAACACAUGCCAGUCGAACGGAAAGGCCCUGCUUGCAGGGUACUCGAGUGGCGAACGGGUGAGUAACACGUGGGUGAUCUGCCCUGCACUUUGGGAUAAGCCUGGGAAACUGGGUCUAAUACCGAAUAUGAUCAUCGGCUUCAUGGUCGGUGGUGGAAAGCUUUUGCGGUGUGGGAUGGGCCCGCGGCCUAUCAGCUUGUUGGUGGGGUAAUGGCCUACCAAGGCGACGACGGGUAGCCGGCCUGAGAGGGUGACCGGCCACACUGGGACUGAGAUACGGCCCAGACUCCUACGGGAGGCAGCAGUGGGGAAUAUUGCACAAUGGGCGCAAGCCUGAUGCAGCGACGCCGCGUGAGGGAUGACGGCCUUCGGGUUGUAAACCUCUUUCAGCACAGACGAAGCGCAAGUGACGGUAUGUGCAGAAGAAGGACCGGCCAACUACGUG
rnacentral:rRNA from 1 species